rnacentral:rRNA from 1 species
GAUGAACGCUGGCGGCGUGCCUAAUACAUGCAAGUCGAGCGAACAGAUGAGGAGCUUGCUCCUCUGACGUUAGCGGCGGACGGGUGAGUAACACGUGGAUAACCUACCUAUAAGACUGGGAUAACUUCGGGAAACCGGAGCUAAUACCGGAUAAUAUAUUGAACCGCAUGGUUCAAUAGUGAAAGACGGUUUUGCUGUCACUUAUAGAUGGAUCCGCGCCGCAUUAGCUAGUUGGUAAGGUAACGGCUUACCAAGGCAACGAUGCGUAGCCGACCUGAGAGGGUGAUCAGCCACACUGGAACUGAGACACGGUCCAGACUCCUACGGGAGGCAGCAGUAGGGAAUCUUCCGCAAUGGGCGAAAUCCUGACGGAGCAACGCCGCGUGAGUGAUGAAGGUCUUCGGAUCGUAAAACUCUGUUAUUAGGGAAGAACAAAUGUGUAAGUAACUAUGCACGUCUUGACGGUACCUAAUCAGAAAGCCACGGCUAACUACGUG